GGACAUAUAAAGGCACAUGCCUGUAAUUCCAGCACUCAGGAGACUGAGGCAGGGCUGUAAAUUCAAAGGUAGCCUGGAAUGUGUCCACAGUAGCCUCUUGGCUAUUUAGUGAGAGUCUCUAAAGAGAAACAAAAGAGAAAGAGGAAAGGGAGGGAGAAAGAGAGAGAGGGCCUAAAUCAAAGACUCAGUCAGGGAGCAGCAGGGACUGGCCUCCACCCACUCACUGAGCCUGCCCACUCUUUGCCACCCAGAUUGGGUGGCGGGACAGCAGGAAGGAACUGAGCUUUUUGCCUCAAUGUUGUCCUGCUACAACUUCCUAGGGGCCAGAGACUUGUGUUUCUCUCUGUAUUCAGCCAGGCCAGGCUGAGAGCUACAUGCUCACUACUGUACGGGGGCAACGGGAGAGCAUAAUAGGGGUUUCACUGCAGCAUCCCAGACAAAGCCUUUCACUGCUCCCUGGGGUGAUUGUUCAGCCCAGGCCAGGUGCCCUACCUCAACCGAAUCCUAAACACAGUGGGGUUAGGGCUGAAUUAUCUCGAUAAACAGACAUCCAGAGGUGCGGGGGCGGGGAUUUCUAUAGCGUGGGGGCUGUCCUCUUCCCUGCCCCCAGGGCUGGUUUCUGUGAAAACCCAGCUGGCCGCUGAGUUCCCACACCCACAGGGCGCGCUGGUGAGAAAGCUGGGCGUGCUUCUGCUUUCCUGAUUCUGGGUUUCGGAUUGGGCGACCUCAGCACUGGACUCUGUCCCAGCCUCUGUAUGACCUCCGGGAACUGCCAGCUGAGCCUGCUCCUCCUGGGUGGGCUUCUCCAGGUACGUGCUAGAAGUAAUGCUGGCGGACUGCCUGCAGAGCACAUCAAGGACCAGUAAGACUGUGACUUCCAACCUAACUGCAGAGGAAGCAUUCUGAGAUGUUUCCUGUCAAUCCCAUCAUGGGAGAGAAGAAACUUCCAAAGUGCCUUCUGUGGCACCCUGGGGACGUGUUAGCCACACAUCUCCUAACGGAACCGAAAUUUUGGAAGCUGUCCCAAAGAGAAGCAGAUGCUCGACUUUCACAUCCACCAUCUCAUCUGACUCGACCUCCACCUUAAGCUUCUGGGGAAGAGUGAGUGAGACCACAGCUCCAAACUGCUCCUCACAGAGCAGGUGGCAUUGUAGGAGCGUUAUUCGGUGCUCGAACCUGUCCUAGGUUAGUUAACCUCCGAGCAGGAUUUGGUACAGGACCUUGUAAUCAAGUUCAUUUACAUUUUUUUCAUGAACAUGAAUAUUCACGAUGAAUGAGAUAAAGGGUCAAACAACGACCUCAGUUAAGA